rnacentral:sRNA from 1 species
GUCCAGAGCGCGGCGGACCCGAGCCAGAAGCCUGCGAGGACGAUAGCAGCAGCCGGCCUUAGGCGUGAGACGAGACCCGCCGCGCCGGCUGU